rnacentral:misc_RNA from 1 species
GAUGAAGAACGCAGCGAAAUGCGAUACGUAAUGUGAAUUGCAGAAUUCAGUGAAUCAUCGAAUCUUUGAACGCAUAUUGCGCUCUCUCGUAUUCCGGAGAGCAUGCUUGUUUGAGUAUCAGUAAACACCUCAACUUCCAUAUCUUUUUUGAAAUGGGAGUUGGACUUGAGUGAUCCCAACGCUUUUCCUCACCGAAAAGUGGCGGGUUACUUGAAAUGCAGGUGCAGCUGGACUUUUCUCUGAGCUAUAAGCAUAUCUAUUUAGUCUGCCUAAAAAACAGAUUAUUACCUUUGCUGCAGCUAACAUAAAGGAGAUUAGUUCUUGUGCUGACUGAUGCAGGAUUCACAAAGACAGGCUUCGGCCGACUUUGUAAACUCGAUCUCAAAUCAAGUAAGACUACCCGCUGAACUUAAGCAUAUCAAUAAGCGGAGGA